rnacentral:rRNA from 1 species
UACGUAGGGUGCGAGCGUUAAUCGGAAUUACUGGGCGUAAAGCGUGCGCAGGCGGUCCGCAAAGUCUGAUGUGAAAGCCCCGGGCUCAACCUGGGAACUGCAUUGGAAACUAACGGGCUCGAGUGUGGCAGAGGGGGUGGGAAUUCCACGUGUAGCAGUGAAAUGCGUAGAUAUCGGGAGGAACACCAGUGGCGAAGGCGACUUCCUGGCCUGUUCUUGACGCUGAGGCGCGAAAGCUAGGGGAGCAAACGGG